GGAAGCACUAUGUGACUUUCUACCUCUGGCUAGGAUCUGUAUCACUUGCAUAUCCAAAAACGUGUUCCUGUUCUUAUUGAAGACACCAUCAUGGACUCUGAGCCUCGCCUGUGUGCAGCAGAGAGGAACCAGCAAUGCUUGGGAAAUGUCAGUCUUCUCUCAUCCCAUUCUGUCUCAGUUGGGGUAAGAACUUUAUUUUAGGAAGUAAUACUAGCAAACAAGUUCACUAGAGGAAAGAUAACCUCUUUAAUAAAUGGUGCUGGAAAAACUGGUCUGCCAUAUCCUGAAGACUGAAACUAGAUUCAUAUCUAUCACCAUGCACCCAAAUCAAAUAAAAAUGGGUCACAUAUCUAAAUAUUAAAGCAGAAACACUAA
rnacentral:lncRNA from 1 species